CUUCCCCAACCCAAAAUGAUGCUGGGUAAGUCUGUUGGGCUGCAGGGUGAAGAGUUUCUGCAGAGGAGAGGAUGACUGGGGGAAGAGGAGUUGCUUAGGGUAUGGAUUAAGGGGAGAGGACCAAAACAUUUGUCUUUGUGCUAUUGAUCGCUUGCCAUGGUCCUGCGGUGAGUUGGAGAGGACUGGGAAUACAACAGUAACAUCAGACGCCCCGUUUCUUCUCCAGACAGAAAA
rnacentral:lncRNA from 1 species